rnacentral:rRNA from 1 species
UGGGGAAUAUUGCACAAUGGGCGAAAGCCUGAUGCAGCGACGCCGCGUGCGGGAUGACGGCCUUCGGGUUGUAAACCGCUUUCGGCAGGGAAGAAGCCGUAAGGUGACGGUACCUGCAGAAGAAGCGCCGGCUAACUACGUGCCAGCAGCCGCGGUAAUACGUAGGGCGCAAGCGUUGUCCGGAAUUAUUGGGCGUAAAGAGCUCGUAGGCGGUUCGUCGCGUCUGCUGUGAAAUCCUCAGGCUCAACCUGGGGCGUGCAGUGGGUACGGGCGGACUGGAGUGCGGUAGGGGUUACUGGAAUUCCUGGUGUAGCGGUGGAAUGCGCAGAUAUCAGGAGGAACACCGAUGGCGAAGGCAGGUCACUGGGCCGCAACUGACGCUGAGGAGCGAAAGCAUGGGGAGCGAACA